AAGAGUUAUUAUAAACUCCCAAACCCAUGUGAACAUACCUAUCGUUGCUUCGGCAGGUCGCGUCUACCUUGUAAGCUCCUACCCUGGAGCGCCCUACCCGGUAGACGCGGGCAAGCCUGCCGGUAGCCCACGCAAAAACUCUUGUUUAAUAUUGCAACUCUGAAUCUAUAACUAAAUAAGUUA
rnacentral:misc_RNA from 1 species